CCGAUUGAAUGGCUCAGUGAGGCGUCCGGACUGGCCCAGAGAGGUGGGCAACUACCACUCAGGGCCGGAAAGCUCUCCAAACUCGGUCAUUUAGAGGAAGUAAAAGUCGUAACAAGGUCUCCGUUGGUGAACCAGCGGAGGGAUCAUUACCGAGUUUACAACUCCCAAACCCCUGUGAACAUACCACUUGUUGCCUCGGCGGAUCAGCCCGCUCCCGGUAAAACGGGACGGCCCGCCAGAGGACCCCUAAACUCUGUUUCUAUAUGUAACUUCUGAGUAAAACCAUAAAUAAAUCAAAACUUUCAACAACGGAUCUCUUGGUUCUGGCAUCGAUGAAGAACGCAGCAAAAUGCGAUAAGUAAUGUGAAUUGCAGAAUUCAGUGAAUCAUCGAAUCUUUGAACGCACAUUGCGCCCGCCAGUAUUCUGGCGGGCAUGCCUGUUCGAGCGUCAUUUCAACCCUCAAGCCCUCGGGUUUGGUGUUGGGGAUCGGCGAGCCCUUGCGGCAAGCCGGCCCCGAAAUCUAGUGGCGGUCUCGCUGCAGCCUCCAUUGCGUAGUAGUAAAACCCUCGCAACUGGAACGCGGCGCGGCCAAGCCGUUAAACCCCCAACUUCUGAAUGUUGACCUCGGAUCAGGUAGGAAUACCCGCUGAACUUAAGCAUAUCA
rnacentral:rRNA from 1 species